CCGAGUUCUCGAGCUCCGGCUCGACUCUCCCACCCUUUGUGAACGUACCUCUGUUGCUUUGGCGGCUCCGGCCGCCAGAGGACCCUCAAACUCCAGUCAGUAAACGCAGACGUCUGAAAACAAGUUAAUAAACUA
rnacentral:misc_RNA from 1 species